ACUGGACAUGCUCUGACCCUACCCACCGUCUCCACACUACUCCCAUUUCCUCGCGCUCCUUGUGUCCCUAAUCUGCAACUGCUGCUGCUCGUGUUCCGAUUACCCAUCUCGGGAUUCCUUGGAUUGCCCUCCUAUUUCAGAUUUUGUAUGCUGGCUGCAGACAAUUAGACUUGCAGAAAUGGAUGCUACUGCUGGCUAACAGUACUAAAAUUUAUAUGGCCAAAGAUAUUAAGGCAAUGUGUAAGGGAGGCA